rnacentral:rRNA from 1 species
CGUAGUUUGACUCCGUGGCUCGAGGACGACGCUGGCGGCGUGCUUAACACAUGCAAGUCGAACGAAGCACUUUACUUGCUUUUGAGAGAUUUUAUUAAAACUUAGUGGCGGACGGGUGAGUAACGCGUGGGUAACCUGCCGUAUACAGGGGGGACAACAGUUGGAAACGACUGCUAAUACCGCAUAAGCGCACAGGACCGCAUGGUCUGGUGUGAAAAACUCCGGUGGUAUACGAUGGACCCGCGUCUGAUUAGCUAGUUGGUGAGGUAACGGCCCACCAAGGCGACGAUCAGUAGCCGGCCUGAGAGGGUGGACGGCCACAUUGGGACUGAGACACGGCCCAAACUCCUACGGGAGGCAGCAGUGGGGAAUAUUGCACAAUGGGGGAAACCCUGAUGCAGCGACGCCGCGUGAGUGAAGAAGUAUUUCGGUAUGUAAAGCUCUAUCAGCAGGGAAGAAAAUGACGGUACCUGACUAAGAAGCCCCGGCUAACUACGUG